rnacentral:misc_RNA from 1 species
AAAUCAAAUAUUCAAACCCACCGAGAAUUCAAUUCAAGAAAAAAGAUUUUUUUUCUUUUAAAUAAUCCCAGAAGAUAAUGCAAGAAUCUGUAGCUGAACCAGAACCAGAUGGUGAAGAAGUAAAGCUCAAGCUCCUCUUCAAUAAUGGCAAACUCUAAGUUCAGUUUCCUCGUCAUCGCCAUUAUCUUUGUCUUCUCCGCUGCACUUCUCAGAUUUUCACAAGCUAAAUCACUUCCACUAGCACUGGCACAAAUCAAGCAGCAAAAGCAAGACCAAGACAGCGAGCCGUUUGUGGGUUUUAACAUAGGCACAGACGUUUCCAAUAUCUUGUCAGCAACAGACCUUGUUUCGUUUCUGCGAGUUCAAAAGAUCACCCAUGUCCGCUUAUAUGAUGCAGACCCUGAUAUCCUCAAAGCCUUGGCUAAAACCAAGAUCCGUGUCAUAAUUAGCGUCCCCAAUAAUCAGCUUAUUGCUAUUGGCUCCUCCAAUACCACCGCAGCCUCCUGGAUUGGUCGCAAUGUUGUUGCAUACUAUCCAGAAACUCUAAUCACUGCAAUUGCUGUAGGAGACGAGGUGUUGACAACUGUGCCCUCUUCAGCUCCUCUGCUUAUGCCUGC